rnacentral:lncRNA from 1 species
UAUGGUGGACAAGAGAGUCAGGAAGGGCCUUUUGGCAGAGCUAGCACCUCCAGACAGAUGGGUGGAGUCACCUGGUUCAGGUAGGGGCAGGUGAGUGGGUUGUGACUGUCUACAUUGAAGCAGGUCCCUGGGCAAAGCUGACUGAGAUUGGAUGAAGAAAGAGGAGACCUAGUUCCAUUCCUUGGGGAAGAGAGUUCAAAAGCUUGUGAAGAGUAACAAAGCAGGCAGAGUCCCGAGCUUAAAGGCCAGAAGGCCAGCAGGAAACCAGAGGUGCCAGUAGAAGCUCAGAAAGUGGCCUGGGUGGUGACAUGGAGGCUGACACAGAGUGACUGUCGGCAGCCGGAACUCAGCCACAGGCAUCUCCCUCCUGGACCAGCACACUCGCCAAAACGGCCUGCAUUUCUCCUGUGGAACAGCCCUCAGCACUGAUCCUUGGCGCGGCUUUCCUCUCUGUGGCCCUGGGGGGCUAUAUUCUCCAGCUAAGCGCUAAGAGGGUAGCCAGAGAGCAUUCUCAAGGCUUCCAACAAACCAAGAGGAGAGGAAGCUGGCCUUGCCAAUCCAUGCUUACCAGUGAUGUCACUCUCGCUUUUACUGUCACCUCAAACCCACUGGCACAAGGC